rnacentral:rRNA from 1 species
CUACGGGAGGCAGCAGUAGGGAAUAUUGGACAAUGGGUGCAAGCCUGAUCCAGCCAUGCCGCGUGCAGGAAGAAGGCCUUCUGGGUCGUAAACUGCUUUUACCGGGGGAUAAAAUACUCGUGCGCGAGGAAUUGAAAGUGCCUGGUGAAUAAGCCACGGCUAACUACGUGCCAGCAGCCGCGGUAGUACGUAGGUGGCAAGCGUUGUCCGGAUUUAUUGGGUUUAAAGGGUGCGUAGGCGGUCCUGUAAGUCAGUUGUGAAAUACGGCAGCUUAACUGUCGAGGUGCAAUUGAUACUGCAGGACUUGAGUACUGAUGGGGUAGGCGGAAUGGACGGUGUAGCGGUGAAAUGCUUAGAGAUCGUCCAGAACACCGAUAGCGAAGGCAGCUUACUAAGGAGUAACUGACGCUGAGGCACGAAAGUGUGGGGAUCAAACAGGAUUAGAUACCCUCGUAC